rnacentral:rRNA from 1 species
UACGUAGGGAGCAAGCGUUGUCCGGAUUUAUUGGGUUUAAAGGGUGCGUAGGCGGUUUUUUAAGUUAGUGGUUAAACGUCGGGGCUUCACCUUGAUUUGCCAUUAAUACUGUAAGACUCGAGUUCAGACGAGGUAGGCGGAAUAAGUUAAGUAGCGGUGAAAUGCUUAGAUAUAACUUAGAACUCCGAUAGCGAAGGCAGCUUACCAGACUGCGACUGACGCUGAUGCGCGAAAGCGUGGGGAGCAAACAGG